GCAAUAACUCUAAAAGUCUUUGUCACUGUUUGAAACCACUCAUCAUGCUUCAUUAUUGGGUCCACAAAGCCCUAUGCGAUUGAGUCACAAAACAUAUUGGCAAAAGGAGUACUAUUUUAAACUCUAAUAAAAUUUAUUCACCAAAAAAAAUACUCUAAUAAAAUUUCAAAAAAUCCGUAAACUAAGAAGGUAUUUUAAAUAGCUAUUUUAAAUCUCUAGAUUUGGAUCCUCACCGAUCUUUCU
rnacentral:lncRNA from 1 species